rnacentral:rRNA from 1 species
UACGAAGGGUGCUAGCGUUGUUCGGAAUCACUGGGCGUAAAGCGUGCGUAGGCGGCUUUGCAAGUCAGGGGUGAAAUGCCAAGGCUUAACCUUGGAACUGCCUUUGAAACUGCAAAGCUAGAGUAUUGGAGGGGAGUGCGGAAUUCCUAAUGUAGAGGUGAAAUUCGUAGAUAUUAGGAGGAACACCGGUGGCGAAGGCGGCACUCUGGACAAUAACUGACGCUCUGGCACGAAAGCGCGGGGAUCAAACAGG